AGGGGGUAUUGCACCUACAGACGUCUAUCAAGCUCCGACGGUCGUCAGAGUAUACUUGGUAGUCAGACUGUGGGUGGUAAGCUUCAGAGUCGAAAGGGAAAAAGCCCAGAGCGUCAGCUAAGGUCCUUAAAUGGAAGUUACGUCGUACAGGAUGUGGGAUUGCCUAGUUAUCUAGGGUG
rnacentral:rRNA from 1 species